GCCGCUGUUCAGUCAAAGAAUAAGAAGAAGCACAAGAAGAAGAAGACCCCUGGGGUGGCCGCGUGUCCCGUUCCGGCUGGUGCUUCGGAGCUAGGGGCUCCUGAGCAGACCCCGCGAGUUGGCCGCCCCAGGACUCGCGAGGAGACGAUGUGGAUCAACUGUGGCUGCGCGGGGCAUUUCCGCUCGGAGUGUGAGGCCCCUCCCCGAUGCCCCACGACCCUUUCUUACCUUGGGUACAGGACUGAGGGUGGUUUCUACUAUGUGGAUGCUGAGAUUGAGGAGGAGGCGGUUAGGCCGCACUUGGCGACGGUCACUCUUGCCCCCGAGCAGGACUUGCCGUCUGGGGUGGUGAUCUCGGCCGCCCUCAUCCAGGCCGAGCUCGCCGCAUACAUCGGCGACUUCCGCGACUCCGACUUCACUUGGGAGGUGACUGAGACGGCUCCCCUCGUCUUCUCGGUCCCCUUCCCCUCUGCUGAGCUGCUUCGCGUGUGUUCCCACGAUGUCAUCCGGUGUCCCAUCAACAAGCUCCUGAUCUCCGUUCGUGCAGCUGCUGCGGAGCCUGAUCAUGUGCCUCCUCUGGAGAGGGUGUGGGUUCUUGUCUACGGCUUGCCUCGAGGUGGCAGGUCGGCACCGCGGGGUGGCAAGCUUGCGCACAUUCUCAAGGCGAUCUCUGAGCCGGUGGGCAAGCUGGUGACCGCCGACUUGGCGUCUUUUGAGGAUGAUGGCCCAGCCCGCAUUGAGAUCCUGUGCCCCGCUCCGGCAGAGAUUGACGGUCUGUCCCUGGUCUUCUACUUCGGCACUAAGGGGAAGCGCCUAACCUUCGAGCUCGAGUCUCCGGUUCCUGAGGAUCUGCUUGGGCCGGCCCCCGCAGCCACUGUGCCGCGCUUGGAUGAAGGGCAGGGUGGGGGUGGGGGCUCGUCUGAUGGGAGCUCUUCUUGUGAGGGGGAUGAUGAUGAUGAUGUGAUUCCGCCGGCUCCGUCUGCUGGGCGGCGUAGCCCGGUUUCUACUGUUGGUGGUUCUUCCGGUCCUGCUAGAACGGCCUCUCAGGUGGCGUCAGGGGGUGGGUUUGUGGCUGUGGCCGUCCCUCCCCCUGUUGCGACCCAGGUGGCUGACCCAGAGGUCGUGGAGGAGGACGUGGUGAGUGUGGGGAUGGAGGUGCGCCCCUCGUCAUCGCCACGCUCGCCGGGGGUGGUCUGCUACUCGUGUUCACCGGGGUCCCCCCUUCCCUUGCCUUGGGGGCCCCGGACCUAG
rnacentral:rRNA from 1 species